rnacentral:tRNA from 3 species
GCGGACGUGGCGGAAUUGGUAGACGCGCUAGACUUAGGAUCUAGUGCCAUACGGCGUGGGGGUUCGAGUCCCUUCGUCCGCA